rnacentral:lncRNA from 1 species
GGUAUAUCUUGCUCUACGUAUUUGAAAAUGAUUUUACGUGAUUUGGAUGAUCUUGAUUGUGAGUGUCUGAAUUAUUUGUGGCCCCAAGGGGUAGGUUUCUGGGAGAUUCUGCCUGGCCCACCCAGACCCAACUGGCCGUGUACAUUAGGUUCAUAUGGGCGAUUGCAAACAAAAGUGUCCGCUACAGGAACUCACUAUACUUACUCUAUGGGGAGGGGGGUGUUUGAGGGAUUGGGGGGUGGUUUCGCGUAAAGUUCUAAACGGCUUCAAUUACAGAGUUUUAGUUCGAUAAUAUCGUGCAGUUCUCAUUGAGAACUGGGUUCUUCACAUCCGGGCAGAGAUGAUUAGGCUUAUCAUGAAACAAUUUUUGAUCAGUUCAUGCUGUCUCGAUGCCACUCGCCAGAAGUUUUUGAGUCACUCUGAAAGCGAUCUCCAGCCUGGCAGCUGCUGUCAGAGCGACCUCAGCCUUGGUCAAACUUCUUUCAGCUCCUCCAGCUCAAGAGGGAGGACAUUCUCGCCAUGGAUAAUUCGUCUUAAGAAGAGGUUAU